UACAGAGGUCUCAAGCGUUGUUCGGAUUCAUUGGGCGUAAAGGGUGCGUAGGUGGCAUGGUAAGUCGGAUGUGAAAUCCCGGGGCUCAACCCCGGAACUGCAUUCGAUACUGCUGCGCUAGAGUACUGGAGAGGAGAUUGGAAUUUACGGUGUAGCAGUGAAAUGCGUAGAUAUCGUAAGGAAGACCAGUGGCGAAGGCGGAUCUCUGGGUCGUACCUGACGCUGAGGAGCGAAAGCGUGGGGAGCGAACAGG
rnacentral:rRNA from 1 species